AUUGAACGCUGGCGGCAGGCCUAACACAUGCAAGUCGAGCGGAUGAAGGGAGCUUGCUCCUGGAUUCAGCGGCGGACGGGUGAGUAAUGCCUAGGAAUCUGCCUGGUAGUGGGGGAUAACGUCCGGAAACGGGCGCUAAUACCGCAUACGUCCUGAGGGAGAAAGUGGGGGAUCUUCGGACCUCACGCUAUCAGAUGAGCCUAGGUCGGAUUAGCUAGUUGGUGGGGUAAAGGCCUACCAAGGCGACGAUCCGUAACUGGUCUGAGAGGAUGAUCAGUCACACUGGAACUGAGACACGGUCCAGACUCCUACGGGAGGCAGCAGUGGGGAAUAUUGGACCAUGGGCGAAAGCCUGUUCCAGCCAUGCCGCGUGUGUGAAGAAGGUCUUCGGAUUGUAAAGCACUUUAAGUUGGGAGGAAGGGCAGUAAGUUAAUACCUUGCUGUUUUGACGUUACCAACAGAAUAAGCACCGGCUAGCUUCGUG
rnacentral:rRNA from 1 species